GGCCUGCUAGUAUGUGGCAUUUAUUUGAGGUAAUUCUGUAGCCUUUUCCUUUGUAGUUUAAGCUGCCUAAAGUUGAAGUUUAAAUGUUAACUAACACAGUGAUGUUCAAGUGAAUGCUUUUACAUUUGUUCAGCUGCAUAGAUUUAUUUUGAUACUGACAUUGAAUUAUUUUUUGGUUUCCUCUCUCUUAUUUAUUUUGACAUUGGCAUUGAACUUAUUUUGACAUUGGUGUUUGUUCCCAAAGUAUGAAUUCGAUCUUUUUUUAUUCCAAGUCUUUACAUUUGAGAAAUACAUAUCUUAUAUCCUUGUAGCUGAGGUAGCUAAUAGGAAAAACAAGUUUAAAAUACUCCAUCUAAGAUAAUGAACUACUUGUUCAAGCUGCUAAGUACUAAAGAAGUCAAGCUCAUUGCAAACUUAGUAGCAACUCAAACAUCAAUCAACCAACAGUGAUUCCAUUGUCUAAGUGACAAUAUUCCAAGUCUAAGUGACUUGAAGAGAUCUUUGUGAUCUGGACUGAGUGUCCUAGUCUUAGUGUUAUUCCCAAGACUAACUGACUCCAAGGAACUUUAUUGGUUUAGUUAUAUCAGAUCUUUGUGAUCUAUAUCAUUAGUGGAUUUCUUACUCGUGCGUGUAGUGGAAGAGUGGACUAGGAGUUUUUCAGUCUCUGAACCACUUAAAAAUCUCAUGAGUCAUUUCCUUUCUACAUAUUAUUUGUUAUAUCUGUUGUGGUUGAAAUCCAUAGGAACUAAAUUCAUAACUGAGAUUUCAUGAAAUCUUUAAGGGGUUUUUUUUAACUAAUAUUUCAUUGUGUUUAACUAAUAUUGAUUAAUUAAUUUUCUAGUAAAGCAUUCUUUAAACACGUAAAAAGUUUUAAAGGAUCUAUUUAACCCUCUUUCUAGAUCUCUUUUGCGUCUUUGGAAAACAUCAUAUUUUUUUAAAGGUGUACGUUUUGUAUUUUUGAGUUGUCUUUUUUCCUUUCAAGUUAAUUGUUGUUUUUAUAUUUUUAAUGAUAGUAUCUGUCAUUUAAUUUUAUUUCUUCUUCUUUUUUGUUGUUGUAAAUAUUUUCCUUAGAUGAAAUUUUACUUAUUUUGCAAAAACAAUAAUUAUGUUCUAACUUUUAAUUUUAAUUUUUCUAAAAAUAAUACUAUUUAUUUUCAAACAUUAGUUAUUUUCAAACAUCGAAAUUGGGUAGCAACGUGAAGGGACAAUUUUGCUAUUCUUCAAAAAAAAUAUGAAGAAAUACGCAAUGAAACAAAUACAAUGGUAAGAAUUCGGUUACCAUAAAGUUAACUUCAUGGUAAGUUGGUCUGUUGUCCAAUACAGUACUGACACGCAGAGAGAGAACAUCUCCCGGUUUGCGUGUCGACAUUAUAUUGGUCAAUUGACCAAAGUUAACUUCAUGCUAACCAAUCCUCAAUGAUAGAAUUCUUUUAAGCAAAUGAAGAUAAAGCGGUACAAAUUUAUGAAUCAAAUAACAGAUAUAGUUAUCUGGAGAAAAUGGUUUGAAAUAGAAUAAGGGCAAGUAAUAUAAUCGCAGCCACAGUAGAAGCAAUCAUCCAUGGGGUGCUGCAAUAAUCACGUUUGAAGGUUGCCUUCCAGUUGUCCAAACGAUCAUUUGCAUAUGCCUUCAUGUCUUGAGAUAUCUUGGAAAAGUAGUACGGACUAGUCAAAUAAUUUCCAGUCUUCAGGCUCUUAAAAAGGGAAGCCACUGCGACACUACUAACCAACCAAUUCUCAAUAAUUCCAUUAUCAAUAAGCAAAUCCACAUCCUUAGCUUUGUCCAAAAGGGUUUCCAUGAAAGUUAUAUAAUCGAUAAUGUAAGUAUCUGAUGGAUAAUGACAAUACUCCAGUGCUGCAAGGUUACUAAGCAAAUACUCAGCGUCGUCGGUUACUUCUAUUUGUGGAAUUUGCAGCAAUCCAGCAUUAUACUCCAUGCAUGUCUAGCCGUGAACAUAUGCUUUUCCGGAUUCUAAAUUUCAUUCCUGCCUCAUGAAGCACCGAUGCAUUAGGAAUUCGUACGAAGGUGCCACCAGUACUUUCCAGUACCCUUGGGUUUGAUGGAAGGUGACAUAACCUUAGCAAAUCAAGUAAGUGUUUUAUAUUAUAACCUGAUGCUAAGUGGCGCUUCACAUGUUCAAAUGUUUUCGCUCUAUUUGUACCAUUUGCUUUUAGUAAGAUAUUACGAAAGAAUCUAAGGGAAAUAUACCAUGGAGAACAAAGAAUGGAAGCUGAUUUUCCAGUUUGAUCAAAUCUUCUUGAAUUUCCAAAAUCAACAUAGGCUUACUCAAGUACUCUGUUUCUCCAUCCCCAUCCCUCCACAUUAUCUCAAUCACCAAACAACUGUCCAAAAAAUAGAAACUACCAAGAAAUGUUUGAGCUAAAGUAAUGUUUGUACGACCAAGAAAUGCCUACAAAUAAUGUAAUUUAACGUCUCCCCAGCGCUGCAACUCCUUUCGCCUAUGUUGAAGAGGCCCAAUAGAAACUACCAAUAGGGUGUAGACAUUUUCAUUACCUUUGCGAACAUUAGAAGGAACUCUGUAGAUGCAACAAGAUGGGGAUAUAGGGUUUAAUCCAUUUAGCUGUUCUCUUAUCAAAGUUUCUAAUGGAACUUCAAGGUCUUCUUUGCUAACAACUGUAUUCAUUUUGUCCUCUCUCUCCCCUUUUCUUGCUAAAAAUGGUAUUGUUACGCUGAAACCAAAACAAAAGGGCUGUAUUAUAGAUUUUUCCCUCCAAGUUGCCAGCUAGUUUCAAAGUAGCCCGUCAAUUACAAAAGUGAACGCUUACUUGGUUCUCAUGAUUAACAUGUGAAUUAUGUGAACGAGAUAUUUUUUACAUAAUCAAAUUACAAAGAGACAUUUGUUUAAAGCCGCAUGUUUAGCACGUAACACAAAAUUACUGAAAAGUCUAGCAAGGAACAGAAUUGGUACUAAUAAGCAACUAUAAGGAUGCAAGUAUUUAUUUCGAUAAUUAAGAGACUACUUUGGAACUGCCCGAUAACUUGAAAGGAAAGAUAUGUAACUCAGUCAAAUAAAAAAGAAGAACAAAUUAACAAAGAGCACAAAACAAUUUCUUUUCAUGCUAAUUAAGUUUGAUUAAAGGCACAUAGCUGAAACAUCACAACUAACACUGUUAUGCUCAUUCUACCUACUUCAUUUUGGAUUUUGUGACAAGGAAAAAAAUAAAAGCCAAAAAUAGCCAAAUAAUGUCAAAUCCUCAAAAGUAUUUGUCAGUUACAACCAAAACACCAAGAAAAUAUGCUCAACCUGUCUACAUGGAGAAGUAGUUCAAUUUGUACAACAACUUUUAAUUAAUGUCUUUAAUGUUGCACUCUUAAAGUGUCAAUAUUUUUUCUCUCCCUUCAGAUUUCCAUCUUAGAGAAAAUAUUUUAAUUAAACUAAGGAAUAAUGAACAAAGAACAAGUCUAUUUAUAACUUUAAAUUUACAGACUUUUUAAAAUUUAUAAAUUUCACAUUAUUUCUGUCUAAACUAAAUAUCAUUCAGAACAAUUAUGUUACAAAUUUUCAUUUACUAGUUGAACAUUCUUCCACCCAAAAAAAAAAGAGUUAGUAAAACUCACCUCGGUUUCUCAACAGUACUGUAGGUAUAAAUUACCUGGUAAUUAAAACAAAAUUAAGAUGAUAAGGAAGGGGGACAAUAUUAAAUAAUGAAAUGUCAAACAAAAUUAAUAAGUAGGGAGGAUUAGAAAAUAAACAUGGGAAUAUAUAUUACCUCACCAAUUUGCAAAUCUAGUCAAUUAGACUAGUAGUUUAUUUAUAGUUUCAAUAAAAUAAUCAAAUUUUAUCCUUAAACCCCAAGUUGCAGAUUAGCAUAUUACAUUGUCAAGCAAGUACCUCUUCAAAGUAAUUAACAAAGAAAAUAAUGGUAUUAAUUUUAUCCUUAAACCCUUAGUUGCACAUUGGUAUAUAUAUUGGACUACUACAUAAGUUUCUAAAAAGCAAUCUAUGGUAACUUUAAUUUAAUUUUGGGUUAUUAUAUUAUCUUAAGAUUAAUAGUGCAUAGUGAAAUUAAUACCUAAGAUAAUAAAUAGUUCAACUCAUUAACAACCCUUAGCAAACAGACAGCCCUAGUUAUAAGAGUAAAAAGGGUAAAGUACCACUAUUCUCUUUCUCACUUAGGAGGGCUUACUUAAGAAAAUGUAUUCUACCAAUAUAUACGAAAUCUGGUUUUAUGUGAUUUAACAAGGAAGGAGAUUACAUUUUAUUACUUCUCGAUCUCAAAGAGAUCAACAACAUUAUGAAAAAGUAUUUAUUUAUACGCUUAAUAAAUACAUGGGAUAUUGAUAAGUUUACUAAAUCCUUAUCUUAUUAAGCCACUUAAUAUGAGUAACUCUAUGCAUAAAUUGUAUAAAACAAUUGUGCAUAAACACUACUAACUCAAUAUGUAUUGAAUAAUAAAAAAUGGGAAUUAAUAUUUCUAAUUGAUAGUUCCGCAAAUAGGCCCCACUUGUUAACCUAUUCAUCAUGUUGCAGUAAGAAAACUUAUAUUAUGUCCAUUUUGUUCCUUCAUUGAAGCUUCUCUCUUUUUCCGUAGCUACCACAAGUACAGAAACAACAAUACAAUGCAUGUACAUCCAAUUUUAACCAUGUUCCCAAUUUUCCCGUCUCUUUCAACGAGUCUUCCUCUAAUUUUAAACCCUUUGCCAGAGAUCUUCGCGUCAUAUCAGUGGUUAUACCUGGCUCAUGGUUGACACAGAUGCUAUGAUUCAAAAACUACGAAGGCACCACAGUGGAGACAUUCACAGCCCACAUAAUUUAAAAUUACCUAUAUAAUUUGUUUGUCCCAUAUCUUCGGCUCUACAAAUUUCAAUACCUACAUGCUCUACUUUGCAUAUGAAAUUAAUCAUUUAAUAUGCAUAACACAUCGUGUAUGGAGAUAUGAGAUAGUUAAAAGGAGACCCAUUUUCGAUUCUUAAGAAAUUUAAGCAAAUGAAUCAAAUUUUGGAAGGUGGAUUUUGAUGGACUGCAGGAAGAAAGAAAUGGAUCAGUACUUUUGGUCGGGAGGAGAGAGAAGGGAUGGAUGACACACGACGAGGAUGUUACAACUUAAUAUAAUUUCUUUGAGGGGUUUAUUAUUUUGUCUAAUCUUGUUUAGCGCGCAUUCACACACACACGUGUAUAUAUAUAUAUACGGGGAGGUUCAAAAGCAUAAGUUUUGAAUACCAUAAGUUUCUUAAGUAACAUAACUAUAUAAAGGCCUUUCUUAUACGCCUUUUUAAAAAAACCCAAAUCUCGCUUUAGGCAAACUGAGCUCCUCUCUCUAUCCAAAUAAUUGCGCCCAAAUCGUCUGCCCUAAUCGAGCUCUUCUCCCCAAAUGCUUCUAAGAUUCGCGAUUUAGGCAAGGCUAGCUGAGAAUCGCGAUUGUGAGAUCCCAAAUCACAAGCCCUAGCUUCUGCGUUCUCUCUUCUCUCCAACCCGGACGGAAGCAGAGCCAAAUCAGGUAUGUGUUUAAUGAGUUCCUCUGUUUAAUGAGUUUUCUAUGGGUUCCUUCUAUUUCUUGUUGUUCAUGUUUAUAUCAGUGCGUUGUGGCACUUGCUAGUGUUGUUUCUGUUCUUGAGCCUGUUUACGGUUUUGCGGCAAUGAAGAAGAGAUUAGUAUGAAAUUAGAUACUGUUGUGUAAAGGAAGCAUUUUCAGUGAGCAUCAGUUGUCACAUUUUUUUAAAAACUAGUAUUUUGUUCAUGAAUAAUGAAUUUGAGUAGUCCUUGUUUUUAGUUGUUAGAAUUCACUUAAUAUCAUUUGAGUAGUUCAUAUAACUCGAAUUCUUGCUAAAAUCUCCCUGUUACAGCCCUUGAUUGUCAGACUUCUUCAAUUUUAGUAUAACAGUUCGGUAUUAAUUUAAUUGUCUGCUUUAUACUAAUCCACUAGAUGGCUAUAUUCACAUUAUUUGAACAUUUAAUGAUUUUUUAUAUCAGGUAUAAUGGAUGACAUGGACCAUGAAAUAGGGAGUUGUGGGGAUAAUGUAGAAAUGUAUUUGGAAAUAGAAAUGAAUGAGGAUAACUUGAGUUCAGAGGGGUUGAAUGUGAACAAUACUAACACUUUUGUCUACUAUCCUCAAGUUGCUGAUGAGUUUACGCCUAAGCUAGGUCAGGAAUUUCAAACAUUAGAUGAAAUUCAUACUUUUUACAAUACAUAUGCAAUGCAUGCUGGGUUUAGUGUACGGAAGUUUAAUGAGACAAAAAAGGCGGGAAGUGAUAAGAUUUGUAGAAAGGAGUAUAUAUGUUAUAAGCAAGGAAAGGGCAAACAAUAAGCCGAUGUGGUUGUAAAAAGAAAGUGUGGAUCGACAAAAGAAGGUUGUACUGCAAGAAUUAUAGCGGUAAAAAGAAAUGACUUAUACGUAAUUAAGAAAAUUGAGGAGGGUCAUUCUCACCCAUUGUGAACCCCACAUAAGAGGCAUCUUUUACGAUCGCAUCGUAAUGUAUCAACUGCAUAAAAAAUCCUUGAGUCAACAACUUGGCAUGGUGAAUAUACCACAAUGCCAACAAUACAAUUUUCUUGCAGUUCAGGCGGGAGGGUUUGAAAAUAUUGGUUACACGCAACGAGAUUUGUAUAAAUUUGAAAGAGACAAGCGCAAUGAGUUAAAGGGAUAUGAUGGUGAUAUGCUGAAUGAGUACUUACAGUUAGAACAGCAAAAUAAUCCUGCUUUCACUUUCACAAUUGACACAGACAAUGAAAACAGGAUUACUCGUUGUUUUUGGGCCGAUGCAAGUUCUAGACGGGCUUAUAGCUUUUACGGUGAUGUUGUCAUUUUUGAUACCACAUACAAUACUAAUCGUUACGGAAUGAUAUUUGCACCACUAUUGGGGGUUAAUAACCAUGGGCAAACUACUGUAUUUGGUUGUGCUUUCUUAAGUGAUGAGACCAUAGAUACUUUUGUUUGGCUUUUUAAGUGUUUUUUGGAAGCAAUGUCAGGUGAUGCCCCUGUGAUGAUUAUCACCGAUCAGGAUCCGGCUAUGACAUAUACAAUUUCACAUAUCCUUCAUAAUACCUUUCAUAGAUAUUGUAGUUGGCACAUUUUGACCAAAUUUUUAAAGAAGAUUGACUUAGUAAAAUUCAAGGAUUAUUAUAAAGAGUUUGCAGAUUGCAUUUGGAAUUCAGAGACUGUGGAAAAGUUUGACUCCACUUGGGUGGAGCUGGUGGAGAAAAGUGGGUUAAAUCAUAAUAAAUGGCUACAAUCAAUGUAUGACAUCCGUUCUAGAUGGGUACCCGCACAUGUGAGUCAUGUUUUCUCAGCCGAUAUGUCAAGUAGCCAACGAGCAGAGAGUUCUCAUUCCUUUUUUAAAAAAUUUGUUUCUAAAAAAAAUUCUUUAGUGGAUUUAAUGAUUCAAUUUGGUCGGGGCCUUCAACAUCAACGACAUGGGGAGUUGGUUUCGGAUAACAAAGAUUUGGUUGAGAGGCCGAGAAUCAAAUAUCGUCAUGACUUUUUAGUUCAAAUGGUUGACAUUUAUACACACUCUAUUUAUUAUAAAUUUGAAGAAGAGUUGUGUGCGAGCUUGAAUUAUAGGUUUGAUCUUAUGAAGGAGGAUGUCAAUAUGUAUGUCUAUAAAAUAUAUCGAAGGAAUGUUAACAACUGUAAAGUAAGAGAAAUUCAUUACGACAAAUCUUUAGAUUAUGCAACAUGCACUUGCAAAAAGUUUGAGAGUUCGGGAAUCCUAUGUCAACAUGUGAUAGCUUACUUGAAUAAGUAUCAUGAUCUUGACAAAUCGCCUACCAAAUAUAUUUUGAAGAGGUGGACAAAGACAGUAAAAUCAAGUGGUGUAAUUGAUGCUAAUGGUGUGGCGAUAAAAGAUGACAAGCCCUACUUACUCUUGCAGAGUCAAUUGAUUCAAUAAUCCUUAUAUUUUAUUGAUAGGGCUCUCACAAAUGAAGAAGCCACAAAUGUUUUAAAAGAAUGUUUUGGUGUUGUGGAUGAGAAGAUCAAUCAUAUAAUUGGAAAAAAUGGUUCUAAAAGAAACAAUGAAAUGGAGUGUGGUGGAAUGAGUGUAUCCAAGUCGGUUAACAAGACAUGUACUUAUGAUCAUAGUUACAUUGAGCCAAACCAAGUGCGAGCAAAAGGAUGUGGCAAAAGGCUGAAGGGUGGCAAAGAAAGGGCUUUGGGUAAAGCAAAAAAUUCUAAGGGUAGACGUUAUAAUGGAUGUGGUAGAGUUGGUGUGACACACGAUAAAAGAAAUUGUCCCGUGCUUAAUAAUUAGUAAGCAAGUUUACGUAUUUUGACUUUGUCGGCAUGUUUAAAUUUGACUUUGCUAUUUGGUUAAAUUUGACUUUGACUUUGUAAUUUGUUUAAAUGUAGAACUGGAGCAUCAAAUGAUGAUGCUACUCAGGAUCCAAGUGUAGAUGACGACGAUAGUGAUUCACCCCCAGGUGCAACUGAGAUUAUGAGGUACUAAAGUAUUUUUUUAACAUUUCAAUCAAGUCAUUCUAAACUGUUAGAGCAUGGUUAUUCUCCUAUGUUGAAGCAUGUCUUUGUAUUCAGUCUUAUGAUUCAGUUUUGUGACUUUUUAUCAUACAGUAACAGGGACGCUGAACCUGGUCUUGAAUGAAGCUAUGGUGAGAUGUCUGUUUUGGUAAGCCACUGUUUUGGUCUGAAUGUUGUUUGGCUAGUCAUGGUUAGUUGUGCAGUAAGCUGCUCUAUCAUUUUUACUGGUUUUCCCACCCCAUAUUACAAAGUAAACAGCUAUAGACAUGCCAUGUUGAAAACAAUUAUAGAUAUGCCAUAUUUACUCACAUUGGCGUUCAGUAAAGGCUUCUUGAUUACCUUUUGAGUUUCUGCUGGCUUUUGUUUCUAUUCAUUUGAUUUCAAUACAUGUGUAAUAAAUAACUUAUAACUUUAUACUUACCAGUCUGUUCUUGUAAUGAAUGAAUAUUUAUCAAGACUUUGGUUGAUUACCUUUUACAUCUGAAGUUAAUAUAUAAGGCUUAUAAAUAAGCUCUUCUUCUUGCAGUCUUACUGGGUUAAACACAAGGAGCCGAGAAUGAAAGUUUUGGAUUUGGUAAGCUUGAAGAUCCUAAUAUUGAGUUGGGAAAGGAGAAUUGUGUGUGCAGUUGCUCGACAGUGGAAGCAAACUCUGAACAUUUUUUUUAAUUUUAUUUUAUAUACAUUGCUGUCAACUUUCUCCUGUUGUUAGUACUAUACUUGGUGGACUUGGUUUGCUUGCUUUAGUUAUGCAACUUUGCUUGGAUGUUGAUGAAGUGAUAUCAUGAUCCUUGUUAUUACUAUAUUUUGGAAUGGAAUGGAAUGGAGGG
rnacentral:lncRNA from 1 species